rnacentral:sRNA from 1 species
AGCUUUAAUGGGCCAAAGACUCUAAAUUGGCAGACCCAUCCUUCGGUGGGAGUAUAACAAUUUAUUCUCAAAAAAGUAGCAAAUGACUCGCGGGGGUACCAUGGGACUUUCGAUGUUUAAAAAGUAUCAAAAAUAAUACUAAGUAUGGACAAAUUAUCAUCCCUGCAUAAGAAUUGUUUAUAUAGUCCGUCGAUACAUGUCAUGGCUAGGGUUGCCAGUACUUUUCCGUCCCUUGUCCCAAUUUCAAGCGAAUAUCCCGCUUGAAGGCACGUAUAUAAAAUUUUUGAAGUUGUAAAAAAUGGAUAGCGAUAUAGGGUCUGUUUUUUAGCAUUAUGCAUUCAGUGCAAGUCAGAUGUACGGAAAAGAUAACCAUUGUCAAGUUGGAUUGGAUAGAUUGUUAUCGUUAUCAUACAAUAACAGUCAAUAACACGUGAUUUGAACCGUAAAUGCAAAUUUUUCUGAUGUUCUCGCCAGUAUUCGAACCCAAGCGCUCAGCGUCAUAGGCGGACAUCUGCGCUACGGUCGCCACCACUGUACCAUUUUGUACUGUAUUGUAUAAAAACAGGGACAUAAUAAUCAAAUGGUACUGUUAGAACUGAUAGAAUUCUGAUAGAAUUUCAGUGCAAAGUUAGUUAUCGAUAUCAUGCGAUUACACAUAAUAACCGGUUAAUCGUAAUUUCCACUAUAUAUUACUGAAACAAAAUAAAGCAAGUAGUACAUUAUACCCAUUUACGUUUUCUAGAUGUUUAUCAAAAAUGACUAUGAAUGAAAUACAGGUAAAAACAAAAUUUUGAGCAGAAAAUUACUCCCCAAAAAUCCCUAAUUUUUUCUCAGAUCCCCCAUCGAAUUUCCAUGCCCCCAAGUCAAAAAUGUAGUCCCCAUUUUCGAAUGAGUCAUCAUGACGACUCAUUAGUUAUUAUUCAAAAACGCGUACGCGUGUACGAGCAUUAGAGCAUUUUGUCUAUACCUGUUUUUUAACUCAUAAAACAGUAAUCCUGACGAUUCAUGAGUUACUCUUCAAAAACGCGUACACGCAAUUUUAAAACCUUUUGGGUAUGCCUCAACGUAACUGUUAAAAAUUCUUGCUAUAGGCAGAAAAAUUAUAAAAUUGUCAUUAAAGUUUUGGCAGCGAAAGCGAAUGGUCAUCAUAAAAAAGUGAUUUUAAAAGGUCAUGUUAAUGCAGAGUCUUAGAGAAAUGUAUUUUUCCGAAAAUAUGCCACCAAGCGAGAGUCCCGGAGUUCACUAUCAACAAUUGCAUAAUAUUAAUCCAGACGUAUUAACUUGUCCAAACCGCCCACAACCGACCUAAGCGACAAAAUAGAAGCCAACAAAAAUGAGUUAACGAAAUCCAUCAAAGGUCAACUGGAUGCUCUCAAAGCUAAUAUGGUCAUAUUGACAGAAGAAGUGGUGAUAUUAUGAAAUGAAGUCCGCAAUUUAAGGGCCGAUUCAGUAAUGAUACCACAGAAAAAUUAUAAGGUGUCCAAUAGCCUGUUGACUUUAAAUCUAUAAUUGACAAAAAUAAUAGAUUUAUAGUCGGAAUUGUAACGUCUUUUCUAAAUGCUCGGAGGAGAUGACUUUCCCACUUUUAUAAGAGUUAUGGUAAAAAACUAUUAUGUGAUGACUUGGAAAUGGAGUUCACGUGGAGGGGAAUAAAGAACAAACCAAGCAUCUAAAAAUGUUUCUUCAUUACAGUUAUUAAAGGAACGUAUUUUAUAUUUAUAAAAA